rnacentral:lncRNA from 1 species
GGCUGAAAAUUCCCUGACAAUUGGUUAGUUUCUUGUAUCUACUGCAAGAUUUCACUCACUGUAUCUCCCUGCAUCGUUUCCUUAAAAUGGCUGAACAUGCUGCAUCCUGCCUUCAUUUUUGAUCACAUUCACUGUUUGAUUAACAUUUAGGAUGAUUCAUUUAUUAUUAUGCCUCCUAAAUGGAAAUGUGGAGAAGGUAGUGCGGUGGAAAUGAAAAAGAUAACGAGAACACCUGGGCAAGAAUAUGAAAUGGCAAAGGAAAAGAAAAUAUCAAGCAAGCACUCUCCUUCACGACUGGUAAGUUUGUUGUUAUAGCUUUAUUGUUUUUUUGUUGUUGUUGGCAUAUUAAUGGAUACUUUUGGUACUCAUGUCAGUAUGUAUGUGAUCAAUAAUAGCGUUUGCUGUUUCAGAAAGUUUGCAAGUUUCAUUACCAGUGAGAGACUAUCAGUUAUGACCCACAGAUGAAGCUUUUUAUUAAAUAUUACAAAAUGAAAGACUGCACUUCCCAAACAACUUUCAUUUUGGGAUUAUUUCAUGCAACUCCUAUCAUUCAUAGAUGGCAUGGAAAAUACCAGCAUCCUGAUCAAAGCAGAAGGCAAUGUUCAUUGCUUACUGUUGAAAAAGGGAAAAUAGUACAAAUCUGCCAGAAAACAUUCGCCAAUGUAUUCUCGCUUAAUGCAAAGAGGUUACAAGUUCUAAAUAACAAGUAAAAGAAGGGCGAAAGUAUUGCAAAAGAAACAAGAGGUAAUAAAAUUGUCGAUAGAAAAUAUUCAGAAGAGGCUAGAAAAAAGCAUUGUGGAUCAUGUAAAGUUGAUACCUCGGGAUAUCAAUCGUAGGAACACUUGAUUUAGCUUUCCACAUUAUUUUGUUAAUGGCACUUACAGC